rnacentral:rRNA from 1 species
UAAGCUUCCUACGGGAGGCUGCAGUGGGGAAUCUUGCGCAAUGGGCGAAAGCCUGACGCAGCCAUGCCGCGUGAAUGAUGAAGGUCUUAGGAUUGUAAAAUUCUUUCACCGGGGACGAUAAUGACGGUACCCGGAGAAGAAGCCCCGGCUAACUUCGUGCCAGCAGCCGCGGUAAUACGAAGGGGGCUAGCGUUGCUCGGAAUUACUGGGCGUAAAGGGAGCGUAGGCGGACAUUUAAGUCAGGGGUGAAAUCCCGGGGCUCAACCUCGGAAUUGCCUUUGAUACUGGGUGUCUUGAGUAUGAGAGAGGUGUGUGGAACUCCGAGUGUAGAGGUGAAAUUCGUAGAUAUUCGGAAGAACACCAGUGGCGAAGGCGACACACUGGCUCAUUACUGACGCUGAGGCUCGAAAGCGUGGGGAGCAAACAGGAUUAGAUACCCUUGUAGUCGAAUUCUU